UCCGCAAGGAAGUAAGAUCCCUGAAAGAUGAUCAGGUUGAUAGGUCUGAGGUGGAAGUGUGGCGACACAUGGAGCUGACAGAUACUAAUCGAUCGAGGACUUAACCAUAUUU
rnacentral:rRNA from 1 species